GAGGACAUUGUUUUUCACACUGUUAACCCCUUCCCUGACAAGGGGUUCCCCAUUGACGAGUAAAAUCGUCUGGCGUUAGACAGAGUAAAAUCUAUAAGUGCCCUGAGCG